UUACAGGCGCCCAAGUUCUCUUUGACAGCAUGUAUACGCUCGCGACUGGCAGUCACCUCUGUGGACACCUGACUGAAUAGUGGCAGUACUUGGCCCAGCGACUUGAUGACGUUGACGAGGAAGCCACAACCAGCUGACUGAAAAAAACACGCCCAGAAAUUAUGAAUUCGCUUCUUGUUAUUAUCAAAUUUCAAAGAGGGCGUGCAAAAACAACAACAACAAAAGGAAUCCGCAUCAGCGGCGAUGUCGUCAUCAGGUCAUCAUUGAGUACUAAUCUAAAGGUUCAGUGCAAGCAAUGAACAUCUCGAAAUCAUUUAAAUCUUUAUUGUACGGUAAUUUUUAGGGUUUAUUAAGAAUUUUCGAUAAAUUAUUGAAUAAAUGUACCUCAUCCUUUCCAUA